UACGGAGGGGGCGAGCGUUAUUCGGAAUUAUUGGGCGUAAAGGGCGCGUAGGCGGCUUGACAAGUCAAAGGUGAAAUCCCUCGGCUCAACUGAGGAACUGCCUUUGAAACUGUCUGGCUUGAGGCCGGGAGGGGGUAGCGGAAUUCCCAGUGUAGCGGUGAAAUGCGUAGAGAUCGGGAAGAACACCAGUGGCGAAGGCGACUAACUGGACAUGUAUUGACGCUGAGGAGCGAAAGCAUGGGGAGCGAACAGG
rnacentral:rRNA from 1 species